AUUAAUUCUCUCCGAGUCUAGAGAUGCUAAGGGAGUUCAUUCUAUGCUGCUAGACCGAUAGGGUACAGAGGGAAACGUUUGUGCCUCCACGUUUUGGAAAGGAAA
rnacentral:ncRNA from 1 species